rnacentral:rRNA from 1 species
GAUGAACGCUAGCUACAGGCUUAACACAUGCAAGUCGAGGGGCAGCAUGGUCUUAGCUUGCUAAGGCCGAUGGCGACCGGCGCACGGGUGAGUAACACGUAUCCAACCUGCCGUCUACUCUUGGACAGCCUUCUGAAAGGAAGAUUAAUACAAGAUGGCAUCAUGAGUCCGCAUGUUCACAUGAUUAAAGGUAUUCCGGUAGACGAUGGGGAUGCGUUCCAUUAGAUAGUAGGCGGGGUAACGGCCCACCUAGUCUUCGAUGGAUAGGGGUUCUGAGAGGAAGGUCCCCCACAUUGGAACUGAGACACGGUCCAAACUCCUACGGGAGGCAGCAGUGAGGAAUAUUGGUCAAUGGGCGAGAGCCUGAACCAGCCAAGUAGCGUGAAGGAGGACUGCCCUAUGGGUUGUAAACUUCUUUUAUAAAGGAAUAAAGUCGGGUAUGGAUACCCGCUUGCAUGUACUUUAUGAAUAAGGAUCGGCUAACUCCGUG